rnacentral:lncRNA from 1 species
GACAGUGGAGAGACCUGCCCGCCCCCAGGGGCUCUUCAGAGCCUCAUCGAAAGGCAACCCAGGCCUCCUUGGAAUGUGGCUGAUCAGGCUCCUACAGACACCAACUGACUUGAGGGAGGUUGCAGGUAGCCGAAGAGCAGAGUUUCAGCUUGAGUCUUCACACCAGAUGGAUUUGAAUCUUAAGCGACACCAAAGGACCUUCGCAGCUUUAGGAGGAGUCCCAGCACCGCCCCUGGAAUUCUCGCCCUGCUGUCUCUGUGCACAGCGGGUUGGCUUAGCACAAAAGCCACCUGACUCCACCCACCGCUCUUGGCACGUGCGGGAGUCCCAGUCCCAAACCUAGUCCUGGCCCGCCGCCACAUCCCGAGGGGAGCGACCUCUAAUCCCCGGGGCUCCUCCGAAAACCAUUAGGCAGCGGGACCGCGCCCCGCGGGUCCCACCCGGCCAUUUGUGAGCCCGCUCCCGCCGCCCCCACUUCUGUCGCUCUCCAUCGUCGCCGGAUAUCUACCGCAGCGACUGUCUGCUCGAACCCAGGACCGCAAGGCUGGCCUCUUGCCUGCCGUGCCUGUCCGGCGAGGCCAGAAGCGUUGGGUCCACGCCUUGGCUCUCUGUCACUGGCUGCCCUUGCCCUGUCAGUUUUGUGCUAGACUCUUUAUUCGCCCCCAACCCCAACCCGCGUGGCCCGCCUGGAGGAAGUGUCCA